rnacentral:tRNA from 1 species
GGGUGGUUAGCUCGGUUGGUUGAGCCUGGUGCUGAUAACACCAAGGUCACAGGUUCGAUUCCCAUUCCGUCCC